GAUGAACGCUGGCGGCGUGCCUAAUACAUGCAAGUCGAGCGAACGGACGAGAAGCUUGCUUCUCUGAUGUUAGCGGCGGACGGGUGAGUAACACGUGGAUAACCUACCUAUAAGACUGGGAUAACUUCGGGAAACCGGAGCUAAUACCGGAUAAUAUUUUGAACCGCAUGGUUCAAAAGUGAAAGACGGUCUUGCUGUCACUUAUAGAUGGAUCCGCGCUGCAUUAGCUAGUUGGUAAGGUAACGGCUUACCAAGGCAACGAUGCAUAGCCGACCUGAGAGGGUGAUCGGCCACACUGGAACUGAGACACGGUCCAGACUCCUACGGGAGGCAGCAGUAGGGAAUCUUCCGCAAUGGGCGAAAGCCUGACGGAGCAACGCCGCGUGAGUGAUGAAGGUCUUCGGAUCGUAAAACUCUGUUAUUAGGGAAGAACAUAUGUGUAAGUAACUGUGCACAUCUUGACGGUACCUAAUCAGAAAGCCACGGCUAACUACGUGCCAGCAGCCGCGGUAAUACGUAGGUGGCAAGCGUUAUCCGGAAUUAUUGGGCGUAAAGCGCGCGUAGGCGGUUUUUUAAGUCUGAUGUGAAAGCCCACGGCUCAACCGUGGAGGGUCAUUGGAAACUGGAAAACUUGAGUGCAGAAGAGGAAAGUGGAAUUCCAUGUGUAGCGGUGAAAUGCGCAGAGAUAUGGAGGAACACCAGUGGCGAAGGCGACUUUCUGGUCUGUAACUGACGCUGAUGUGCGAAAGCGUGGGGGAUCAAACAGG
rnacentral:rRNA from 1 species